rnacentral:rRNA from 1 species
AGUGAACGCUGGCGGCGUGCCUAAUACAUGCAAGUCGAACGAAGUGGCGCACGGGUGAGUAAUAUAUAGUUAAUCUGCCCUCCACAGAGUAACAACAGUUGGAAACGCCUGCUCAUACCUCAUAUUGUAGGAUGAGACUAUAUCGUAUCAGCUAGUUGGUAAGGUAAUGGCUUACCAAGGCUAUGACGCGUAACUGGUCUGAGAGGAGGAUCAGGCAAAUUGGAACUGAGACACGGUCCAAACUACUACGGGAGGCAGCAGUAAGGAAUAAUGCGCAAUGGGGGGAAGCCUGACGCAGCAACGCCGCGUGGAGGAUGACACUUUUCGGAGCGAAAACUCAUUGUAUCAGGAAAGCGGUACCUGAGGAAUAAGCACCGGCUAACUCCGUGCCAGCAGCCGCGGUAAUUC